UCCCACAGGUGAGCGUCGCGAGGGAGGGUUACCGGACUCACGCGUCGCACCCUCUGACUGUCCUCGUACCCCCUACCUCCCUCCCCGGCUCCGCUUCCGCCUCCGCCUCAGCCAUGGCCCUCAAGCGGAUCAACAAGGAGCUGAAGGACAUGGAAAGGAACCCCCCCUGCCAGUGCUCCAUCGGCGUGAUCAACAACGACCCCUUCCACUGCAAGGCCACGCUCAUCGGCCCCCCUGGCACACCUUUCCAAGGCGGCCUCUUCAACCUCACCAUCGACUUCCCCGACGACUACCCUUUCCAGCCGCCUAAGGUGCGGUUCACGACCAAGGUGUUUCAUCCCAACAUUAACGACCAGGGCGGCAUCUGUCUGGACAUCCUCAAUAGUAAAUGGUGUCCUACGCUCUCCAUCUCCGGGGUCAUCCUCACCAUCUGCGCCAUGCUCUCAGACCCCAACACGAACCACUCUUUGCGGAAGAACAUCGCCUUAAUGUAUCUCAACGAACGGAAAAAGUACGACGAGGAGGCGAAGAGAUGGACCCGCCUCUACGCCACCGGUUAGGGGGAAGGGAGAGGAAAGUGAGGACGGGAGAGGAAAGGGAGGAAGAAACGUCUGGGGUCCAAUUACGACUAGUUCCCAAGCCCAGAGAGAAGAUUUACCGGGCUUUCGUGGGUGUUUUGCCGUUCAAGGUGUAGAGGUCAUGUUAAAAUGGUUAUGUUAAAAUAUAUCACUAUGGUCAAUGAAAACCUCACGCACCCAAUUCUGAAACGUGCCGGGCUCACAUUACGACUAGUUUCCAAGAGAAGAUUAACCGGGCUUUCGUGAGUGAUUUUGCCGUUCAAGGUGUAGAGGUCAUGUUAAAAUAUAUCACUAAGGUCAAUGAAAACCUCACGCACCAACUUCUUAAACGUCCCGGGCUCACAUUACGACUAUAGUCUGUUCAGAGAAUGAAGUCGGUUCAAGGUGUGGCAGAUUCCGGUAUUCCCAUGAGUGCGGCGGUGCCAGUUUGACCGCCAAUUAUCAGAUUAGCACCGUCUCCCUAUCUACCCACCCACAA